rnacentral:rRNA from 1 species
AAUACAUGCAAGUCGAACGAGGUGCCUUUGUAGCAAUACGAGGGUAUCCUAGUGGCGAACGGGUGAGUAACGCGUUGGUGACCUGCCCCGAAGUGUGGGAUACCAGUCCGAAAGGACUGCUAAUACCGCAUGUGGUCACCGGGUUUAGAAACCGGUGUCGAAAGCAGCAAUGCGCUUUGGGAGGGACCUGCGUCCCAUCAGCUAGUUGGUAGGGUAACGGCCUACCAAGGCGACGACGGGUAGGGGACCUGAGAGGGUGACCCCCCACAAUGGAACUGAAAUACGGUCCAUACACCUACGGGUGGCAGCAGUAGGGAAUAUUGCACAAUGGACGGAAGUCUGAUGCAGCAACGCCGCGUGCACGAUGAAGGUCUUCGGAUCGUAAAGUGCUUUUCUGGGAGAUGAGAAAGGACAGUAUCCCAGGAAUAAGUCUCGGCUAACUACGUGCCAGCAGCCGCGGUAAAACGUAGGAGGCAAGCGUUAUCCGGAUUCACUGGGCGUAAAGCGCGUGCAGGCGGUUCGGUAAGUUGGGCGUGAAAUCUCCCGGCUUAACUGGGAGAGGUCGUUCAAUACUACCAAACUAGAGAGCAGUAGAGGAAGAUGGAAUUCCCGGUGUAGUGGUGAAAUGCGUAGAUAUCGGGAGGAACACCAGUGGCGAAGGCGAUCUUCUGGACUGUGUCUGACGCUCAUAUGCGAAAGCUAGGGUAGUAAACGGGAUUAGAGACCCCGGUAAUCCUAGCUGUAAACGAUGUCAACUAGGCGUCGGUGGCUUAAACACUAUCGGUGCCGAAGCAAACGCGAUAAGUUGACCGCCUGGGGACUACGAUC